rnacentral:rRNA from 1 species
AUGACGACGCAUGGAGAUGUUUUCAAGAUGAAGCUACUCAUGUACCUCAUCUUAGCUGUUUUCGCGCCGACCACCUCUCUUCGCCCAAGCAAGAAAUGCUUCCCCAUCCUGGCGGAUCUGGGAAAUGUGAAGAACAUGAAUUGGUGUAAGUUUAUUGCCGACUUCCUGCACGAUGCAUUCUCAAGCAAGAUGUACCAAAAGGGUUGUCCACUGCAUUUAAUGCUCAUGUACGUCGACUGUCUUGACCUGUCCACCGUGGAUUUCACUGGGACAUGA